GAAAUACAAACAAGUUUAAAUGCUCACAGUGAACACAUGUCUUCAUUUGGCGGCCCGGUUACCCCAACAAGAUCCUGCAGCUUGUGGAAACUCAGAGAGUAACCAGUUUUGUAGCACUGCAUAUGGAAAACCAGGCAUGCAAAACUGGAUGCUGGGCUGAAAAUGUGGCGUGUCGGGGAUAAUGAACGAGACGGGAGGCAAUUAACAGGAGAAAAGUGACAAUCUGACAACAUGCUCAAUUAAUUAUUGAUGUCACUUGGAGAUUUGAUUGUCAACAUCAUAAAAACAGCACCAGAAAAAGCCACAAGAUAUUGCAUAAAGCCCAGAAUGACUGAAAGUUGGUGGACUUUUUCAGGAGAUACAUUUUUUCACUGGUUCAUCCAGAUAUUUGUCAGACAAGCUUCAAAAGAGCAAAGCAGAAAGGCUGUCGUUUCCAUUUAA
rnacentral:lncRNA from 1 species